rnacentral:lncRNA from 1 species
UGCACCCACAGCAUAGGGAGGUUCCCAGCUGGGGGUCUAAUCAGAGCUAUAGCUGCUGACCUACACCAUAGCUCAUGGCAACUGGAUCCUGAACACACUGAGCAAGAUCAGAGAUUGAACCCACAACCUCAUGAUUUUGAUGGGAGGACAGAUUCUGAGUGGGAUGGAAAGAGAUACAGUUCACACGUUGGGCUCUAACAUAAAACUGAAGACCGUGGCUUGAUUAGCUAUUUCUUGCCAAUAAUAUGAUCCAAGCCCUUUUGGAUCAUAUUAUUCUAGUCUGUGUGUGCUUAAGUAAUUUAUAUUCAGAGAGAUCUAUAUUUGAAUCUCAGCUUCACUACUUACAAAAUGUGACCGUGACACUGUCCCUAACCUCUCUGAGCUCAAAUAUGGUACUGGCAUAAACAUACACAUAGAUCAAUGGAACAAAAUUGAGAACCCAAAAAUAAACCCAAGUGUACAUGGUCAACCAAUACUUGGCAAAGGAGUCAAGAAUACUCAGAGGAAAAGGUAGUUUCUUUAAUAAUGAAACUGGACCCCUAUCUUACACUGCUCACAAAAAUUACUUUGAAAUGGAUUAAGACUUAAAUGCAAUACUUGAAACUAAAAAAGUCCUAGAAGGAAACAUGGGGGUAAGCUUCUUGACAUUGGUUUUGAUGCAUCAUUUUUUGGAUUUGACACCAAAAGCGCAAGCAACCAAAACAAACAAGUGGAACCAUAUCAAACUAAAAAGCUUCUGCACAGCAAAAGAAAUAAUAAAAUGAAAAGUCAGUGUGCAGAAUGGUAGAAAUAUUUGCAAACCAUAUAUCUGAUAAGGAUUAAGGAUCUGGCGCUGCCACAGCUGCAGCGCAGGUUGUAGCUGUGGCUCAGAUCUGAUCACUGGCCUGGGAACUUCCAUAUGCUGUGGAUGUGACCAAAAAAAAAAAAAAGACAAGCGAUAACAAGUGCUAGCAAGGAUGUGGUGGAAAGGAAGCCUUGUAUACUGUUGGCGGGAGUGUAGCCACUAUGGGAAGGAAUACAAAGUUUCCUCAAAAAAAUUAAAAGAACUAUCAUAGAAUCCAGUAAUUCCACUUUGGGGUAUAUAUCCAAAGGAAAUGAAAUCCCUCUCUCAAAGAGAUAGCUGUACUCCAUGGUCAAAGCAGCGUUAUUCAUAAUAACCAAAGUCUGGAAACAACCCAAGUGUCUGUCAAUGGAUGAAUGAAUAAAGCAAUGUGAGAUAGAUAGAAAGAAAAAAUGGAAUAUUAUUCAGCCAUAAAAAAGGAAGAAAAUCUUGCCAUUUGCAACAACAUGGAUGAACUUUGAGGGUAUUAUGCUGAGUGAAGUAAGUCAGAAAAAUAUAAAUACUGUAUGAUCUCACUUAUAUGUGAAACCUAAAAAUGAACUCAUAGAGAGUUCCCACUGUGGCUUGGUAGUAACAAAGCCAACUAACAUCCAUGAGGGCUCUGGUUCGAUCCCUGGACUUGCUUAGAGAGUUAAGGAUAGGGUGUUGCCAUGAGCUAUGGUGUAGGUCGAAGAAGUGGCUCCGAUCCAGAGUUGCUGUGGCUGUGGUGUAGGCCAGCAGCUGCAGCUCUGAUUCAACCCCUAGCCUGCGAACUUCUACAUGCCAUGGGUGCUCUAAAAAGACAAAAAAAAAAAUUAAUUAAAAAAAAAACCUCAUAGAAACAAAGAGUAGAUUGGUGGUUGCUGGCAGUUGAGGCGGGUAAGCUGGAUGGAUGAAGGUGAUCAAAGGAUACAAGCUUCAGUUUUGAAAUGAAUGAUUUCUGGGGAUCUAAAGUAUAGCAGGGUGACAACCGUUAACAGUACUGUGUUGUAUACUUGAAAGUUGCUAAGAGUAAAUCUUUACAGUUCUACACACACACACACACACACACACACACACACACACAAAGACAAAAGGUAUCUGUGAGGUGAUGGAUGCUUAACCUUAUGGUGAUAAUCAUUUUGAAAUAUACAUAUAGAUCAAAUUAUCACAACAUACACCUUAAACUUAUACAACAUUAUAGGUCAAUUAUAUCACAAUAAAAAUGGGGGAAAAAAGUCAAGUAAAUAUGAAAAAGGGAAAAAAAAGGAAGCAGAAAUAAUAAUAAGGCAGGAGAGCAGGAGGUCUGUUCCCUAUGCCUGCACCUUUUCUGGGACAAGGGGGCAGAAGCCACAGCACCAGCCCUUCCUCUUCUCUGCCUCAACACAGAUAAGUAUUAGAAUUUAUCUCCUCUAGGAGACCAACGAAUUGCCGCCUCCAGCAGGAACUAGAUUCGCCACUAAUCUCUGAGCCUGUACAUUUUUAUAACUAUUCUGAACAAAUCAUUGAAUUAAUUUCCUUUUUAUUUCCUUAUGAGAAAACUAAAUUACUAAUAUUGCGAAAAUGUUCUCCCUCACUGGAAAAUUCCCCUGAUGCUAGUGUUUGGGUUUAUAUGACUCCAUUUGGAGUUGGUUUUAGGAGACAUGAUUUUUUCAAAGGAACUAUUCAGUACUAAAUUUGGUCUAAGCAUUCUACUCUCUGUAGGCCAAUACAAGCGUGUUUUCUUUCAUUCCUGAGUUCUUCCUCUCCUCUUUUAUUCACCCUCUGCUUCUUUCUGUUCAACACUUUUCAUCUUAAAAAAAAAAAUGUUUGCAGGAGUUCCCUGGUGGCCUAGAGAUUAGGGAUCCAGCAGCAUUGUCACUGCUUGGCUCUGGUACAACCCUGGCCAGGGAACUUUUAUAUGCGGUGGGCGCAGCCAACCCCCCCCGCCCCCGGCCCCAAAACAAUCAGUCAAACAAAAAAUCUUUAAAAAAUGUUAAAAGAAAGUCUUCCAAAUAGGACCCUGGGACUCAGAUGGGUUAUUUGGAGUUUACUCCCAGCAUCAUACAGAAAGCCCACUUUUACAAACAGCCUCUGGCUUUACAGUCUUCACUGAGCACAGGUUCCAGGAGACCCAGCUUGAAAACAUUUACAAGCAUCUCACGCCCCCGCCUCCACCCCCGUCCUGGUCUGGUGGGGCUGCCAUAACACAACACCACAGACCGUGUGGCUUAAACAACAGGAGUUUAUGUUCUCAGAGUUCUGGAGACCAGGCAGGACAAGAUCAAGGUGCCAGUUUCUGCUGGGAGCUCUCUCCUGGCUUGCAGAUGGCUGCCUUCGUGCUGAGAUCUCCCACAGGGAGGAGGGAAAGAGAGCCAGUUCUCUGCUAUUGCUUCUGACCAGGACACUCAUCCUCUUGGAAGUCUCACUUAUGAGCUCACUUAACCUUCAUGGCUUCCUCAGGCCAAAUGUAGUCACAGUGGGGAUUAGGGCAUCAACACAUGAUUUGGGGGGGGGGGCGCAAUUCUGCCUACAGCACCUCCCCCCAAAAUUAUUAAGUUCAGAUGGAGAAAAACCCACAACAUCUAGUUGUAUAACAAAUAUACGUAUCAUAUGAGUCUUAAGUUUGUACUGAACACCUAUUAUGUGCCCUGCACUUUGCUAGGUAGGUGAAAUAGGAAACAGGCUAGUUAUGGUUGACAGACCUGACUUCUUCCUGCAUUGACGGACAGGUGGAUGUCUCAGAGUGGUAUGAACAGGGCUUGCAGGGGACCAGUUGGGUAUCCCUACCCUGAGGCUUCUGAUACUGGGUGUCAUGGCUAGUGGCUGUCAUCUUCGCCAUCUGGGAAUUAUUCCCAUUGCAUUUAAGACUCCUCCUCAAAACCGGAGAGAGACCACUGUGCAGCCAUCUUCCUCAUGAAGCCACACUGAGAUACGCCUGUAAAGAAUAAUGGACUUGACUAUGUUCACACCUUCCCAUUAUGUUCACAGACGGCCUUGGUUCCUCUCACAUUUUCAAAUUACGCCAGGAGAAUGAUCACCUCGCUCAGCCUCCUCAAAGCAAAACCCUUUUGCACUGGUCUACGUACAGUAGGAAAGCAAUAAAUGCCUGUUGGCUGAAACCAUUAGGCUCCCAGGCCGAACGAAGGACCGCAUCCUCAAACUGAAACUGUUUCUCCCUCCUGAUUGCUGCCCCCCCCCCACCCACCCCCCCCCCCCCGCCCACAGCCAGCCCGAGCAGAU